CUUUUUGUUACAAAAGUGGAGAUCUACACGGAGGCGACGGCCUAGGUCGCUCUGACAGGACCCAACGACCCUCCUGACGCGUCCACCCGUCCUCGCUAGCAGGGUCCCCCAGCGGGCUCUCGACCUGCGCCACCAGAGUUCCACUCUUUUUGUCGACAAUAAUAUGGCGCCCAAACACGUGGGGCCUCAGAGAAGACUCUGGAUCCGGAAGGAGUAUCCCAAAACCAGAGCUAAGGUACCAGCUGGAGCCCACUGAAGCCUCACCGAGUUUGGGCUUCUCCUCCUGUGGAACUGGAAACCAAAAUCAUGGUAUUUUGAAAACCAGAGGUAUGAAUCUCCCUCGUUUGGCAUCCCACUGGGCCUGGACCUGUUUCACUGCUAAUGUUCUGCUGCCAAAACUAUACAAGCUGCCUGGACUAUUGCAGAAGAGUCUCCUUCCAGUGCCACUUAUUGGAUACACCUUCCAGGACUCCAGUUGGCUAAAUUUUCAGCUCUUUAUCUCUAAAGAGAAAUAAAAUAUGAACAGUUCCAACCCUGCCUUCACAAAGUAGAAUAUGAAAGAAUGGAUUUACAUUUGAAAGACAACAGCUUAGUAAGUGGCACCAACCAUCAGGUCCUAAACCACAAGCAUUCCUUCAAUGAUACCUGUGUGAUAUAGUUUGAAUAUUUGUCUUCUCCAAAUCUAGUGUUGAAAUGUGACCCUCAGUGUUGGAGGUGGGGCCUAGUGAGGUGUUUUUGAGCCAUGGGAGUGAAUUCCUCAGGAAUGGUUUGGUGCCCU
rnacentral:lncRNA from 1 species